rnacentral:rRNA from 1 species
UACCGCGGCUGCUGGCACGGAGUUAGCCGGUGCUUCUUCUGUGAGUGACGUCAAUCCUCAAGGGUAUUAACCUUAAGGCCUUCCUCCUCACUGAAAGUGCUUUACAACCCGAAAGCCUUCUUCACACACGCGGCAUGGCUGGAUCAGGGUUGCCCCCAUUGUCCAAUAUUCCCCACUGCUGCCUCCCGUAGGAGUUCGGGCCGUGUCUCAGUCCCGAUGCGGCUGAUCAUCCUCUCAGACCAGCUACGGAUCGUCGCCUUGGUAGGCCUUUACCCCACCAACCAGCUAAUCCGACUUAGGCUCAUCCAAUAGCGCAAGGUCCGAAGAUCCCCUGCUUUCCCCAAAAGGGCGUACGCGGUAUUAAUCCGAGUUUCCCCGGGCUAUCCCCCACUACUGGGCAGAUUCCUAAGCGUUACUCACCCGUCCGCCGCUCGACGCCUGGUAGCAAGCUACCAUCGUUUCCGCUCGACUUGCAUGUGUUAAGCCUGCCGCCAGCGUUCAAUCUGAGCCAUGAUCAAACUC